CAAAAACAUAGCUAGAUGUAUUAUAUAUUUGGUCUUUUCUGCUCAAUGGUUUACUAAAUAGCCGCAGUACCCUGACUGUGCAAAGGUAGCAUAAUCAUUUGGCUUAUAAUUGAAGUCUGGCAUGAAGGAAUCAAUGGGUAACUACUGUCUUUAAAAAUUCAAAGAAAUUACUUAGUAGGUGAAAAUACCUACUUAUAAACAAUAGACGAGAAGACCCUAGAAAUUUUAUAUAAAGUAAUACAGUAUUACUAACAUUUUGUUGGGGCGACAGAAUAACAUUUAACUUAUUUUAUUUAAUUAGAACUGUAUUUUGAGAUAGCUUAAAUUACUCUAGGGAUAACAGCAUAAUUUAUUAAAGUUUGUGACCUCGAUGUUGGACUAGGGUUUAUAGUAUUUAGAAGACACUAUAAUUGGCUCUGUUCGAGCUUUGUUCCCUACAUGAUCU
rnacentral:rRNA from 1 species